AGAAACAAGACAGCUCCAGGUCUCCAGCAAUGCCACACCCCCAGCCCCCAAAUCUGCAGGUUUUCCACGAAAAGUCACAGUCUUCUUAAGGGUGUAUGAGAUUCCCAGACUGCUGCCACAAAGGUCAAUGGGAUGCUUCUUCAGAGCACUCAACAUAGAGCUUGCCAGCGACUGAUGUAAUAUAAUAUAACAGCCCGAGCAAUUCUGUUGAAGUAGAGAAUCAAGUGCACUGGCUUUUAUAUGUUGGGGUAUAUGAGAGCUUUUCUUGUUUCCAUGGGACUCUGGUUAGAUUCAGAUUAUCAUAUUUUCCCUUAGCACAAAAUGACUUUUACAGUCCAUCUUGUUCCUGCUGCACACAGAGACUUUUCAUGGUACAUCUUGCUUUAUCUCAAUCACAUCUGUUAAUGCAACAUGAUUUGGUCAUACAUUGUAUAUUGCUGAAAUUUUUCUGGGUAUUCUAGUAUAAAGGAUCUGUCUUCAGAAUUGUAGCUGGAUUAGGUGACUUUCCAUCUUCUGUUAGCUCCACUUUAUUCUGCUCCACUUUGAGCAAUUUAACAUGUUUAUUUUGCAUCAGAAUACGUUAUCCUGGACUUGCACAUGCACUUGUGUCAGCUAUGCAUACAU